GGCGCAGGCGGUUUCUUAAGUCUGAUGUGAAAGCCUUCGGCUCAACCGAAGAAGUGCAUCGGAAACUGGGAAACUUGAGUGCAGAAGAGGACAGUGGAACUCCAUGUGUAGCGGUGAAAUGCGUAGAUAUAUGGAAGAACACUCGUGGCGAAGGCGGGUUCCUGGACAUUAACUGACGCUGAGGCACGAAGGCCAGGGGAGCAAAG
rnacentral:rRNA from 1 species